UAUCAUGUUGAAACACCGGUUCGCGUACGAUCACCGAAGUUAAGCAAAGUCGAGUUUGGUUAGUACCGAGAUGGGUGACUGCUUGGGAAUAACAGGUGUGGCAGG